rnacentral:lncRNA from 1 species
GUUUGUUUUUGCAUGUAAUCUAUAAGUAUUGAAAUGGCAUGCAUUAUAUCUGCAAUUACAACUACAUUUAUUAUUUUUGAAUAGCUUUUAUAUGUGUGAAGGCAAUAUAUGGAAUACAGUAGUGCUGUAAGUGGAUGUCCAGCCACAUGCGUUGAUAUACAUGCCCCCAAAACAUGCAAACUACCCCGAUCAGAAGGAUGUCAGUGUAAAAAAGGAUUUGUA